rnacentral:misc_RNA from 1 species
AGCACCAUUAACAAUCAGUGCACCUGGAACAAGAAUAGGAGUAAGAAUGAGAAGCAAACUAGUUUCCUGGUAAUUUAGAACUGUCAAGUUCAGUUGGCAUCCAUUUCCAAUUUUCCAUUGUAACUUGACAAAUUGCCAAUGGAUAAGAUAUUAUAAUGAUAGCCUAGUUAGGUGCUUAAUGCUAUCCACAGUAGAGAAUAUCAAUAUAAUAGCACAAAAAACUCCAAAUAAAAAAUGGACAAUUGAAUCAAUCGAUUAGAAAGAAGAAGAAUAAGAUGACCAAAAAGGGCUCAUUAAAAAAAUUUAACUUCAUGAUGAAGGGAUCCUUCCAGUUUUUGCCCAAAACAGAACCAUUGCUUCUAACCCCAGAGCAAAAUAGAAAAUUAAGGAAUUAAGAACUCCACAGCAACAGGGCAUAUUCAUCGAUAACCACAAGAUUGGGACAGCUUAUUUGAUUAAACACGCAGCUCUUACAUUGUUUACCUUUUAGUCACACAAAUUCAAUUGCACAAUUUGUAUCCUUGGAAAAUUUGAAUUACCUACAUGCUAUGCUAGCUAGCAGCUACAAUGAAAAGACAGAUUACACUUAGAACCAAAUACAAAAGAUAAUAAAUAAGAUAGUGACAAUGACAAGGAAUAAACUAAUUGAUCAACUGAUUAUAUUAGAAUGCAGAUACAAAUGGAUGUGAAUAUGAUUCUGUAAUUGAUCAACUGAGUAAUCUGCUUGCGCUAAUCCUAACAACCACUCAAAGUUCUCAGUCAACAUGAGCAUCAAAAACAGAGGCAACGAGAGAGAAGAGCAUAUAUGAUAGUUUAAGAAACACCCAUUUCAAUAUAACCCAAACCCCAAAAUAAUCCAACCAAAAAGACACUAUUAACUCAAGCAGCAAUUCCACAAUUAAUAAUCCAAUCAAGAUCAAGACAUACAAGAAAAUAUAUAAAAAAAUGGAACAUAAAAACAACCAAUCCAUGUAGAUCUAAGCCUGAUGAGCAAAAA